GUCAACCUCGUUCCCAGGCACUUUCGUCUACGCUCCUAGCUGGAGAAAAUAGCGUAGAGGAAAGAGCCUGGGAACGAGGUUGCCCUC